UACAGGGGGUGCAAACGUUGCUCGGAAUUAUUGGGCGUAAAGCGCGCGUAGGCGGCUACUUAAGUCGGAUGUGAAAGCCCUUGGCUCAACUGAGGAAGUGCAUCCGAAACUGGCAGGCUAGAGUACUAAAGAGGGUCGCGGAAUUCCCGGUGUAGAGGUGAAAUUCGUAGAUAUCGGGAGGAACACCAGUGGCGAAGGCGAUCUUCUGGACGGAUACUGACGUUGAGGCGCGAAAGCUAGGGGAGCAAACGGG
rnacentral:rRNA from 1 species